AUCGCAAGCUGUGAAGAAUGUAGUAUACCUGAAGUCAAGCAGCUUCGGUGCCGCACGCUUUGUAUGUCAAGCCUUCGUCAGCGCUCGGGGAGAUUUGACCAUCGCUGCUUUGACAGAGACAGCAAGAAAUGGCGUCGAUGACGUGGCCACUCUAUUCUACGUGGAUUCUCUUAGCGGUUAUCGUCGCCAUGAGUACUGCUGAUGAAGAAGAGUGGGAGAUUGCUAUUCCAAAAUGUAAACAGGGAGAACAUUCAGGAUGUGUGAAACCUCCCGGGAAUCCGUGCAGCGAGGACACAUGCAACGUAGAAAAGCGCGGUGAUAUUUGCACUUAUGAGUGUGCAUGGGGCUGCGUUUGUAACAAAGGCCUGUAUCGUCGCCUGUCGGACCAGAAGUGCGUUCCAAAAAGUGAAUGCAAUUCCAGCGCCAUAAUCUUGAAGAAGUCACAUGGAAGGGACAGUUUGGCUCUCAUCUGACCGUUCUAAAACACGGGCAAAAAAACCCUAAUAAAACGAUCUCUUCAUUU